rnacentral:rRNA from 3 species
AAAGUUUCAACAACGGAUCUCUUGGCUCUCGCAUCGAUGAAGAACGCAGCGAAAUGCGAUAAGUAAUGUGAAUUGCAGAAUUCAGUGAAUCAUCGAAUCUUUGAACGCACCUUGCGCUCCUUGGUAUUCCUUGGAGCAUGCCUGUUUGAGUAUCAUGA